GUGCCUUCUCCACGCCGAUCCCAACGCCAAGCCAAGCCUCGCUGUGAUGGAGGUUGGAAACGUUACCAAAGCUCGUGGACCAGCAGUGAAUAAUGUCAACCAGAGAUCUGGCUCACAAAGUUCUUAGUGCCUUCAAGCUAGCAAGGCCAAAGGCCCCUGCUCUUGGCUGCAACACCGUUCUGCUGCCCUGUGUAAUUUCAGGUCAGUGAAGAUUUCUACACCAAACUCCAGCUAGACCAUCUAGAGGAUGUGCUUGGGGAAACGCCACAUUCAGAAGGAUUUUGUGCUCCUGCCUUCACAAGAGCCAUCAGAACCAGCUGCACUUCGGAGAAUGAGCCAGAGUCACCCUGGGCUUGGAAAGCUGCUGGG
rnacentral:lncRNA from 1 species